UACGGAGGGUGCGAGCGUUGUCCGGAAUCACUGGGCGUAAAGGGCGCGUAGGUGGCGCGGGUAGUCAUCGGUGAAAGCUCAGGGCUCAACCCUGAGUCGGCCGGUGAUACUCCCGUGCUUGAGUGUGGUAGAGGCCAAUGGAAUUCCGGGUGUAGCGGUGGAAUGCGUAGAGAUCCGGAAGAACACCGGUGGCGAAGGCGGUUGGCUGGGCCACAACUGACACUGAUGCGCGACAGCGUGGGGAGCAAACAGG
rnacentral:rRNA from 1 species